GAUGAACGCUGGCGGCGUGCCUAAUACAUGCAAGUCGAGCGAACAGACGAGGAGCUUGCUCCUUUGACGUUAGCGGCGGACGGGUGAGUAACACGUGGGUAACCUACCUAUAAGACUGGGAUAACUUCGGGAAACCGGAGCUAAUACCGGAUAAUAUUUCGAACCGCAUGGUUCGAUAGUGAAAGAUGGCUUUGCUAUCACUUAUAGAUGGACCUGCGCCGUAUUAGCUAGUUGGUAAGGUAACGGCUUACCAAGGCAACGAUCCGUAGCCGACCUGAGAGGGUGAUCGGCCACACUGGAACUGAGACACGGUCCAGACUCCUACGGGAGGCAGCAGUAGGGAAUCUUCCGCAAUGGGCGAAAGCCUGACGGAGCAACGCCGCGUGAGUGAUGAAGGUCUUCGGAUCGUAAAACUCUGUUAUUAGGGAAGAACAAACGUGUAAGUAACUGUGCACGUCUUGACGGUACCUAAUCAGAAAGCCACGGCUAACUACGUG
rnacentral:rRNA from 1 species